GAUGAACGCUGGCGGCGUGCUUAACACAUGCAAGUCGAACGGUGAAGGCGGAGCUUGCUCUGCUGGAUCAGUGGCGAACGGGUGAGUAACACGUGAGCAAUCUGCCCCUGACUCUGGGAUAAGCGCUGGAAACGGCGUCUAAUACUGGAUACGAGCUGCGAAGGCAUCUUCAGCAGCUGGAAAGAAUUUCGGUCAGGGAUGAGCGGGCGGCCUAUCAGCUUGUUGGUGAGGUAAUGGCUCACCAAGGCGUCGACGGGUAGCCGGCCUGAGAGGGUGACCGGCCACACGGGGACUGAGAGACGGCCCAGACUCGUACGGGAGGCAGCAGUGGGGAAUAUUGCCCAAUGGGCGAAAGCCUGAUGCAGCAACGCCGCGUGAGGGAAGACGGCCUUCGGGUUGUAAACCUCUUUUAGCAGGGAAGAAGCGAAAGUGACGGUACCUGCAGAAAAAGCGCCGGCUAACUACGUG
rnacentral:rRNA from 1 species